rnacentral:lncRNA from 1 species
CUUUUUAGGGCUGCACCUGUGGCAUAUGGAAGUCCUCAGGCUAGGGGUCGAAACUGGAGCUACAGCUGCAGGCCUAUACCACAGCCACAGCAACUCUGGAUCCUUAACCCGUUGAGCAAGAACAGGGAUCAGAAGCGACAUCCUCGUGGAUACUAGUCGGGUUCAUAACCCGCUGAGUCACAGGGGGAACUCCCCCUGCUGCUGGAGCUUAAGCAGGUCACCUCGCUGUCCUGCUCUUGGGCUUCUUCACCUUCCCAAGAGAAGCUGCUUACAUCACAAGCUCUGGGUGAGCGUUAGAUGAAAUAACACCAGGAAAGUGGCUCUGGGAGCCAAUAGGGUGCUGAGUUCUCCUGGACCCAGAUUGGAGGCCUGACUGUGCCUCGCACUAACUCUGGGUCCCCGGGGAAACACUCAGCCCUGUGUGGCUACUUCCUGGCUCCUUAGAUGAGGAGGCAGUGGGUCCCAGCAGGCACUGCCGUAAGGGCUGAAUGACACGCAAGCAAGCGCCUGGCACCGGGAGGUCCUCUUUGCUUUUACCGCUAAAUUGUCAGGUGCAGAUCCUGGUCCGAGGUGACUCUCAUUUCCUCCCCGCCUCACUCCUCCUUGUGGUCAGGACCCCACACUGGGGGUUCCCAGCUCACCCCGCUGACAACUUGCCACGUGACUCUGGGCAGCCACAGGCCUCUCUGGAUGGCGAGCACUCGGCUGGUAAAAAGAAGGGGUUGAUUUAGAUUGUUUCCAAACUCUCCUGGUAUCAAAGUCUUCCAGGAACCUUGUACGGCAUCCAGGUUCCCUGGCCCUUCCCUUAGAGGUUCUGGUUCUGGAGGCUUGGCAGGGGACCCGGGCUGGAAUUUGUCCUUAAAACAAGUACUUCAGGUAAUUCUUGACAUCCAGAUGGUGGGGGAAACACGGGUUCGGAGAAGGCUACCCUGAGCACUCCAGUCCCACAGCCAUGCAGGCGUGGCGGCGGGAGGAGGACUAAUGCAAUGGUCAACCGGGCUUGACAUUUCAAAAAGAUUUUCAGCGUCAGCUUUCGAGAAUUAGUCAUCGCGCCAUCACUUUGACGCCCAGGCAGCUGAUAUGCAGAUGUGACCUGUGUGUGUCUGUCCUCGGACUCAGGUUUGCUUUCCUCCAGAGACCGCCGGCCUCGCUGGGAGGAGCACUGGGCCAGGAGCAUCUCAUCAGCCAUUCCCCCUGGCGUGCUUCCUUGAGUUUCUACAACACCCACUGUCUUGGCAUCCCCUUGGAGCGCAGGGGCUCCCAGAGGGCUGUGCGGGAGGGAGGGGAGGGCCAGCAGCCUGCAAGUGGAGCUCCCAGCGACCGGGGAACAACCGAAGGCAGGAGGCUGACUGGUGGGGGUGGCGGAGAUUGUGGCUUUGGAAGCAGGGCCUGCUGGGGCCCCAUCUGAGCCCACACCUGCCCAUCACAGCUGCGAGCCCGGGGGCAAGUUCCUUUGAUCUAUCCGAGUCUCAGCUGCGUCAUCUGUAAGCCCUCCUGCACAGAACCGCUGUGGGGGUUAAAUGAGCUCAUGAGUAAGCACAUCUUGGCUACUUACACGUCACCGCUCUCCGGGUCUCUCGAAACCUGCAUCUGCAAGUUUCUAGUGGCGAGACCUAGUUUUUCUUAGCUCCUUAGGCUGGGGAGAUGCAAAUAGCUGCACACCUGGAGAGUGAUUCAGGUUAUUUCCCCUUCCUAGCCCUGUUUCUGACCUCAGAAAAAAGGCAUGAAAUCCUCAGGGCCCAAAUACGCAGCCUUGGGGUCUGUUGAGACAGGAAGGCCCCAGAGGGUGAGGGUCCAAAAGCCACACUUACCUGAAGGAUAGAACCCAACUAGCAUCCAUGAGGAUGCAGGUUUGAUCCCGGGCCAUGCUCAGUAGGUUAAGGAUCCAGAGGUGGCAAUGCGGAGGUGGCUCGGAUCUGGCGUGGCUGUGGCUGUGGCGUAGGCCAGUGGCUGCAGCUCCAAUUCAGCCCCUAGCCUGGGAAUUUCCAUAUGCCGAAGGUGUGGCCCUAAGAGAAAAAAAAAGUCAAACUACAGGGGGAUUUUCAAUGUUAUCCUACAUCCAGGGAGAACAUUUGAGCUGGGGAGUAAAAUACUUUUGAAAGGGGAUUUGGGGAGAAUAGGCUGAUGGAAGCAGGAGCAGAAGCCAAGGAGUAUGUUCUGAGCUGCCUCUCCCUGUGCUAUUACUUGCAACAGCUCAUUUAAGUCUCGAGACACUCUUAAUAGGUGGCUGUUAUUAUCCUCGUUCUUCUGGGCCUGGGUAGCCAUGAAGAAACAAGGCUCAGAGAGGCUGAGGUUUGCCUAGAGGCCACCCAGCGCGUGAGCUGUGAAGCCAGGGCUCCGAGCCCAUAACCUACUGCCUUUUCUUUAAAAGAAUCAUCUGUACUUGAUGGUCAUGACUCGCACGUACUCUUCAGCCCCCCUGCAACAGGGCUUUGUCUCCCAUUUCAUCCCUGGCUGCCUCUGCAGUCGCAGGGAUGUGCUACGUCCAUUCUCUAGUCUAUGCAACCUCUGAUGCGGCCAAUCCUCCUUGGCUCCUGGGAUGUCAGACACUCCUGUUUCUCCUGGUCCUCCACCUGUCUCUCCACGGCCUUCAGUCCAACAUCCGGCAUGGGACUGAACCCUACCAGCCAUAUGGGCUUCGAAGUGGAUUCCUCCCCACGGGAGCCCCAGAUGAGGCCCCAGCCCAGGCCACCCUGACUGAACUGCAACCUUGUCAGACACCCUGCAGCACAGCACCCAACUCGGCUGCACUCUGACUGCCGCCCCUCAGAAACUGGGAGAUAACGUGCAUUGUACAAAGGUGCUCAGCCAGUGCUGAUUUAUCACGUGGCAAUAGGAAAUGAAGACAUUUACAGGCCUUUCUCCUGUUUGCACAAGUGGAGCUGAGCUCUUUCUGACUUAAACAGGGGUGUACACCCAUCAGAGAUGCCCCAAACCUGCUGGACCAACCCAUCUUCCUGGCCUCUCCUGCACACCUUCCCCCAUACCUACUUUGCCAUCAUGUCCUGAACCUCUCUUUUCUCUGCCUAGAAUCUGCACUUUUCUUGACCUGUGAACUCCCAUCUAUUCCUGGACUGGCUGAAAUGCCACCUCCUCCAUGAAACCCUCUGAGACUGACCCCCUGCUGUGGGAUUUCACGACGGGCUGUCUGUUCUUCCGGCCGUGUCCUCAGCUCCCUGGGCUGAGAUCUCGCCCACCACUCAGUGCCCUGCAUCUCGUCUCAUUUACCGCUGUACACCCAGCGCCUGUGAAGUCAUAGGGAUGCAAUAAACGUGUGCCGACUG